rnacentral:rRNA from 1 species
AGCGAACGCUGGCGGCAGGCCUAACACAUGCAAGUCGAACGGAUCCUUCGGGAUUAGUGGCGGACGGGUGAGUAACACGUGGGAACGUGCCCUUUGGUUCGGAACAACUCAGGGAAACUUGAGCUAAUACCGGAUGUGCCCUUCGGGGGAAAGAUUUAUCGCCAUUGGAGCGGCCCGCGUCUGAUUAGCUAGUUGGUGAGGUAACGGCCCACCAAGGCGACGAUCAGUAGCUGGUCUGAGAGGAUGAUCAGCCACACUGGGACUGAGACACGGCCCAGACUCCUACGGGAGGCAGCAGUGGGGAAUCUUGCGGAAUGGGCGAAAGUCUGACGCAGCCAUGCCGCGUGAAUGAUGAAGGUCUUAGGAUUGUAAAAUUCUUUCAGCGGGGACGAUAAUGACGGUACCCGCAGAAGAAGCUCCGGCUAACUUCGUG